rnacentral:piRNA from 1 species
UAGGAGUCCACUGAGAUGCCGCUUGCCUUC